rnacentral:rRNA from 1 species
CACGUAGGGCGCAAGCGUUGUCCGGAAUUAUUGGGCGUAAAGAGCUCGUAGGCGGUCUGUCACGUCGGCUGUGAAAACCCGAGGCUCAACCUCGGGCCUGCAGUCGAUACGGGCAAACUAGAGUACUGCAGGGGAGACUGGAAUUCCUGGUGUAGCGGUGAAAUGCGCAGAUAUCAGGAGGAACACCGGUGGCGAAGGCGGGUCUCUGGGCAGUAACUGACGCUGGAGGAGCGAAAGCGUGGGGAGCGAACAGG